AUGCGUAAACUAUCCGAACUUUAUAUGCUAUAUCAAACUUGUCGUGCUAGGGAAGCGAGACAAUAAUAAACUUCUAGGAGUCUGUGUCCGUAGGACGGUGUCCACGUACCUGUUCCAGGGCCAUAAUUAUCUGUAGAUCUUGCACUGGCACUUGUAGUCAGUAAGAUCCACAGUAGUCGUCUAGAGGUCUUAAAACAAUAUUUACAUUUGGUCUGUAAUAAUUAAGUAUCCGAGUGGUCGGAACAGUUCCCAUAUUGUUUAGUUGCUUUCUAUGAUAACUGGUUAUUGUUUGGGACACGGUAUGGGACGUGUUAUAUAACUGAAUUGUAUGAUAGUUGUCGUGGAAACUUCUGAACAAUCUGUUUCGCUCAGUGCCGCGCCCCGAUGAUUCCGCCAUCGGUUGGGGUGUGACAUAAAUGGAGGCAUUGGGGUUGGGCAUUCACAUCUAGUCGCCACAUACGGUCUAUAGGCUUAUAUCAUUUGAAACUUGCUGUCUGGGAGGCUGGAGUGGUCAUGGGUCGAGAUAUAUGGAAUCGCAGUACAAGCUUAACGGUUUAUAUACACAUGUUUUAUGAAACCCUUAACAAAUGAAUUAUGCUUCCGUUGUAUACAACGAACGACAUGUAAUGUUUGUAACACUUAAUGUUCAUGUAUGAAAGUU
rnacentral:lncRNA from 1 species